rnacentral:rRNA from 1 species
UACGUAGGGACCAAGCGUUGUUCGGAUUUACUGGGCGUAAAGGGCGCGUAGGCGGCUUGUCAAGUCACUUGUGAAAUCUCUGGGCUUAACCCAGAACGGCCAAGUGAAACUGACAUGCUAGAGUGCAGAAGGGGCAAUCGGAAUUCUUGGUGUAGCGGUGAAAUGCGUAGAUAUCAAGAGGAACACCUGAGGUGAAGACGGGUUGCUGGGCUGACACUGACGCUGAGGCGCGAAAG